rnacentral:sRNA from 1 species
ACUUGGAUCUGCUCUUGAAUCUGCCCCUGCGGAAAGAGGGCCGUUUGGACAGGCUGUGCCUGGAGAUUUCUGGCCUCAUAAAAUCCUCCUGGUCUCUUAGGAGAGCUGGUGACACUCUCCAGGUCCUUGGUGGAGCCUGAUGAUUGACAUCUUAAGCAAAUUCUCUGGAGAAGUCGAUGCUCCUGAUGGAGGCUCACACAUUGAUAACCCCUGGUUUAGAGACACUACUAAUUGUUCCAGCUCAUCCAGCUAAUAAAUGACAGAUCUCAGACUUAA